rnacentral:rRNA from 1 species
GUCCACGCUUUAAACGAUGGACACUCGGCAUUUGGCGCCGAUUAAUCGGCGCUGGGUGCCCAAGCUAACGCGGAAGUGUCCCGCCUGGGAACUACGAGCGCAAGCUUAAAACUCAAAGGAAUUGACGGGGGCCCGCACAAGCAGCGGAGCGUGUGGUUUAAUUCGACGCAACGCGCAGAACCUUACCCAGAUUGGACAUGCCACUGCAAGCGCCUGAAAGGGCGUCGCCUUCGAGGGUGUGGCACAGAUGCUGCAUGGCUGUCGU